rnacentral:lncRNA from 1 species
UGAAGGCACAGGAAUAGCUGGGUGUAAAUGGACACAGACAUGCUGAGAUGUAGAUAGUGCUUUGGAGUAUGGAGCACUGCUCACCGGAGCAGGGCACGGCGUGGGGACUCCCUACCAAAGCAGGUGCUGAUUUCCUGGCGCAGCUUCCCUCAUUCCUCACAAAGCCCAAUUUCCUCCUCUGGUCACCAUGCAGAGCAAACCCAGGGCUAGUUUGCUGUCUUAUAACCCACCAUCUCCCUCAGAUCUAAAGCCAAUGAUGUAAAAGCAGCAGCUUUAUGUUGGACUACAGCUCUGCCUGUGACAUUUCCACCCUCUCCAAAUGGCAUGGGAAAAGCAGGCACCCAGGGCAGGGGUGGAGGGGCCCUUCCCAGGCAAUUGCUAGGGAGUUGUGGCUCAGGGACUCGAGGCUAUGAAAGGUGUUUGUACUUCAUGGUUUACAGUGGAUUUUUUUCACUCUAUGAACUUGUCUGGUUGCCCACGGAAUUCACGCAGGCAUUUAGCUCCCACAGCUUCCCCACUCAAGACCUUAACAGCCAUGGUGACAGAGCCAGGAGAGGUCAAUCCUUCACCCAUGGAAAACUGUUCAAGGGGUUCAAAGAAACACAUUUGGCUUCACCCACCCCAAGCAGGUUUGCAGGCAUGGGAAGGUGCAGGCUGAGCUCUGCCCUCAGAGUCCUGCUACCAGCUUCAGGAUCACGUUUAACCAGGCAGGCCCCAUGCCAGACCUGCUAGCAGCUUCCUUUCUCCCUCCCUCCCAAGGGGUGUGGGGAAGCAUUGAGUGUGCCCCAGCCCACCCUGGACCCCUAUGCCCUGUCCCCAGCCCCAGCACACAUGGACACAGUGCUGCAGCAAUGGUGUCUUUAUUGAAGACUUGAAGUUGUAGAUGGUGGCUUAUCUGUACUUCUCAGCCAGCACAGCAGACACGGCAGACAGGAACUUGUCGAAGGCAGCAUGCACUUCAGGGGUGUAGUCUUUGCCCAUGUGUACAGCCAGCACCACCUGGAUGCACUGCGACAACAGCUUGAAAUUGACGGGGUCAACACGCAGGUUGUAGGCAUGCAGGUUGCUCAGCUCAGCCAUGGCCUGGCUGAGGUUGUCCACGUUCUUCACGGCGUUGCCCAGGGCACCCAACACCUUCUUGCCAUGGCCACGGACCUGGUCAGAGCCAGGCGAAAGGUCGAAGUGGGGGAAGUAGGUCUUGGUCUGGGGAUAGGUGGUGAACAUCCUAGUCAGAGCCUCAGCUCCAAACUCCUCCUGGUGGGAAGCGGCCUUCUCCCAGGCCUGCUGGAUGAGCUUCUUGUCCUCGGCAGUCAGCAUGGUGGCAGCUGGUGGGGCGGGCUGGUGGCUGGUGGCAAUGUGUGAUGGAGGAGCCUGCAGGGCCGACCUCUUAUAGCUCCCUGUACACCCGCCCCGGCCUUAUCUUAU